CAGCACCUCAAGUGGUCAGGAUGAUUAUUGGGCCUAAAGCAUCCGUAGCCGGCGCUGUAAGUUUUCGGUUAAAUCUGUACGCUCAACGUACAGGCUGCCGGGAAUACUGCAGAGCUAGGGAGUGGGAGAGGUAGACGGUACUCGGUAGGAAGGGGUAAAAUCCUUUGAUCUAUUGAUGACCACCUGCGGCGAAGGCGGUCUACCAGAACACGUCCGACGGUGAGGGAUGAAAGCUGGGGGAGCAAACCGGAUUAGAUACCCGAGUAGUCC
rnacentral:rRNA from 1 species